GUGAAUCAUCAAAUCUUUGAACGCAAAUUGCACUCUCUUCUGAGAGUAUGCCUGUUUGAGGGUCAGCCUAAAAAAAAUCAACGUAGUCGCUGUUUCGCGGUGACAUUCGUCGGAAAUGGGGUCAGCUUAAACCUUUUGGGUUUUUAAUCGUCUUAAAAUUUUCUUUACGAUGCAACGAACUUUUCUAAGUUUUUACUUCUUACACACGUUUAAGGUAUUAGUCUUUAUUAUACGUGUCCUUUGCAUCUAAUCUUG
rnacentral:misc_RNA from 1 species